UACAGAGGGGGCAAGCGUUAUCCGGAAUUAUUGGGCGUAAAGCGCUCGCAGGCGGUUUCUUAAGUCUGAUGUGAAAGCCCACGGCUCAGCCGUGGAGGGUCAUUGGAAACUGGGAAACUUGAGUGUAGGAGAGGAAAGUGGAAUUCCACGUGUAGCGGUGAAAUGCGUAGAUAUGUGGAGGAACACCAGUGGCGAAGGCGACUUUCUGGCCUACAACUGACGCUGAGGCGCGAAAGCGUGGGGAGCAAACAGG
rnacentral:misc_RNA from 1 species